UACAGAGGUCUCAAGCGUUGUUCGGAUUCAUUGGGCGUAAAGGGUGCGUAGGUGGCGGGGCAAGUCAGGUGUGAAAUCUCGGAGCUCAACUCCGAAACUGCACUUGAUACUGCCUUGCUCGAGUACUGGAGAGGAGAUUGGAAUUUACGGUGUAGCAGUGAAAUGCGUAGAUAUCGUAAGGAAGACCAGUGGCGAAGGCGAAUCUCUGGACAGUUACUGACACUGAGGCACGAAGGCCAGGGGAGCAAACAGG
rnacentral:rRNA from 1 species